rnacentral:rRNA from 1 species
AGAGUUUGAUCAUGGCUCAGAAUCAACGCUGGCGGCGUGCCUAACACAUGCAAGUCGAACGCGAAAGCCCCGCAAGGGGUAAGUAGAGUGGCAAACGGGUGAGUAACACGUGGGUGACCUGCCUUCGAGUGGGGGAUAACGUCCCGAAAGGGGCGCUAAUACCGCAUGAACAUCCUGUGUUUGGAAACGCGGUGAUUAAAGCCGGGGAUCGCAAGACCUGGCGCUUGAAGAGGGGCCCGCGGCCGAUUAGCUAGUUGGUGAGGUAACGGCUCACCAAGGCGACGAUCGGUAUCCGGCCUGAGAGGGCGGACGGACACACUGGGACUGAGACACGGCCCAGACUCCUACGGGAGGCAGCAGUGGGGAAUUGUUCGCAAUGGGCGCAAGCCUGACGACGCAACGCCGCGUGGAGGACGAAGAUCUUCGGGUCGUAAACUCCUUUCGAUCGGGAAGAACAGUUUCCGGGUGAACAAUCCGGCGAUUUGACGGUACCGAGAGAAGAAGCCCCGGCUAACUCCGUGCCAGCAGCCGCGGUA